rnacentral:tRNA from 1 species
AACUCUGUGGCUUAGUUGGUAUAAGUGCCGGAUUAGCGAUUCGGAGUCGUGGGUUCGAAUCCCACCAGAGCAA